GAGUAAUUUGACACAUUGUGUGGGAAGUGUAGCUUUCCCGGAUUGAACAGAUGACUUUCGACCUAAGGUUUCUGAAGCUGUUUCCUGAGAUGUUCAUACAUGAUAUCUAGAUAUGUUUUAGACCAGUGAUUGAAAUGGAUUACUUGAUUAGAUUAAAUAAUGUAAAUUUCCAGGCAGAAACAAAGUGAAAAGAGGUGGACCUGAUCUUUUCUCAUGUAGCAACUUCUAUUUUGGUAAAGUAGAUAACGUUACUGGAUUGGAGACAUUCAUAUUUUCCUUGCUGACUCUAGGAAUGCUGAUGGUUUCAUCGAUAAUGCCGAGCUGAAUAUCAUCGCGGGUUUUGGGGAGCAAGUUACAGAGGAGGCAAUUCAUGAAUUCAUGACACAAUCGGACAAGAACAAUAAUGGCAAACUUGAUUUUGAUGAAUUGGUGAAGAUGGUGGAGAAUGUCCAGUAAAAAAGCAACAUCCCUCAGCAACCCAUUACAAUUCAACAAUUUAAUGAAUUGUGUGUUGUUGCCCUUCUUCAGCCAACUGAACAGAUAUCUGAAAUAAAAAUGAUGAUUGCAAAUAAUUCAAAAUCUGUUCUACAGGACUGAAGCUACAUAUGUAGCAGACAGCUUCCUGGCUGCUACAGUUUUUUCUUUGUGAGGAAGAAGCAAUCUCCUAUGUACGAAACGCUUUGUCAUUUUGCUACCAGCACGGAACACUACACAGUUUAUUUGCAACCCUUUCCUAAUAAACCUAAUGUCAAUGUUUUUCCGA